rnacentral:rRNA from 1 species
UGUGAGCUCGAUGAGUAGGGCGGGACACGUGGUAUCCUGUCUGAAUAUGGGGGGACCAUCCUCCAAGGCUAAAUACUCCUGACUGACCGAUAGUGAACCAGUACCGUGAGGGAAAGGCGAAAAGAACCCCGGCGAGGGGAGUGAAAAAGAACCUGAAACCGUGUACGUACAAGCAGUGGGAGCACGCUUAGGCGUGUGACUGCGUACCUUUUGUAUAAUGGGUCAGCGACUUAUAUUCUGUAGCAAGGUUAACCGAAUAGGGGAGCCGAAGGGAAACCGAGUCUUAACUGGGCGUUAAGUUGCAGGGUAUAGACCCGAAACCCGGUGAUCUAGCCAUGGGCAGGUUGAAGGUUGGGUAACACUAACUGGAGGACCGAACCGACUAAUGUUGAAAAAUUAGCGGAUGACUUGUGGCUGGGGGUGAAAGGCCAAUCAAACCGGGAGAUAGCUGGUUCUCCCCGAAAGCUAUUUAGGUAGCGCCUCGUGAAUUCAUCUCCGGGGGUAGAGCACUGUUUCGGCAAGGGGGUCAUCCCGACUUACCAACCCGAUGCAAACUGCGAAUACCGGAGAAUGUUAUCACGGGAGACACACGGCGGGUGCUAACGUCCGUCGUGAAGAGGGAAACAACCCAGACCGCCAGCUAAGGUCCCAAAGUCAUGGUUAAGUGGGAAACGAUGUGGGAAGGCCCAGACAGCCAGGAUGUUGGCUUAGAAGCAGCCAUCAUUUAAAGAAAGCGUAAUAGCUCACUGGUCGAGUCGGCCUGCGCGGAAGAUGUAACGGGGCUAAACCAUGCACCGAAGCUGCGGCAGCGACACUAUGUGUUGUUGGGUAGGGGAGCGUUCUGUAAGCCUGUGAAGGUGUACUGUGAGGUAUGCUGGAGGUAUCAGAAGUGCGAAUGCUGACAUAAGUAACGAUAAAGCGGGUGAAAAGCCCGCUCGCCGGAAGACCAAGGGUUCCUGUCCAACGUUAAUCGGGGCAGGGUGAGUCGACCCCUAAGGCGAGGCCGAAAGGCGUAGUCGAUGGGAAACAGGUUAAUAUUCCUGUACUUGGUGUUACUGCGAAGGGGGGACGGAGAAGGCUAUGUUGGCCGGGCGACGGUUGUCCCGGUUUAAGCGUGUAGGCUGGUUUUCCAGGCAAAUCCGGAAAAUCAAGGCUGAGGCGUGAUGACGAGGCACUACGGUGCUGAAGCAACAAAUGCCCUGCUUCCAGGAAAAGCCUCUAAGCAUCAGGUAACAUCAAAUCGUACCCCAAACCGACACAGGUGGUCAGGUAGAGAAUACCAAGGCGCUUGAGAGAACUCGGGUGAAGGAACUAGGCAAAAUGGUGCCGUAACUUCGGGAGAAGGCACGCUGAUAUGUAGGUGAAGUCCCUCGCGGAUGGAGCUGAAAUCAGUCGAAGAUACCAGCUGGCUGCAACUGUUUAUUAAAAACACAGCACUGUGCAAACACGAAAGUGGACGUAUACGGUGUGACGCCUGCCCGGUGCCGGAAGGUUAAUUGAUGGGGUCAGCGCAAGCGAAGCUCUUGAUCGAAGCCCCGGUAAACGGCGGCCGUAACUAUAACGGUCCUAAGGUAGCGAAAUUCCUUGUCGGGUAAGUUCCGACCUGCACGAAUGGCGUAAUGAUGGCCAGGCUGUCUCCACCCGAGACUCAGUGAAAUUGAACUCGCUGUGAAGAUGCAGUGUACCCGCGGCAAGACGGAAAGACCCCGUGAACCUUUACUAUAGCUUGACACUGAACAUUGAGCCUUGAUGUGUAGGAUAGGUGGGAGGCUUUGAAGUGUGGACGCCAGUCUGCAUGGAGCCGACCUUGAAAUACCACCCUUUAAUGUUUGAUGUUCUAACGUGGACCCGUGAUCCGGGUUGCGGACAGUGUCUGGUGGGUAGUUUGACUGGGGCGGUCUCCUCCUAAAGAGUAACGGAGGAGCACGAAGGUUGGCUAAUCCUGGUCGGACAUCAGGAGGUUAGUGCAAUGGCAUAAGCCAGCUUGACUGCGAGCGUGACGGCGCGAGCAGGUGCGAAAGCAGGUCAUAGUGAUCCGGUGGUUCUGAAUGGAAGGGCCAUCGCUCAACGGAUAAAAGGUACUCCGGGGAUAACAGGCUGAUACCGCCCAAGAGUUCAUAUCGACGGCGGUGUUUGGCACCUCGAUGUCGGCUCAUCACAUCCUGGGGCUGAAGUAGGUCCCAAGGGUAUGGCUGUUCGCCAUUUAAAGUGGUACGCGAGCUGGGUUUAGAACGUCGUGAGACAGUUCGGUCCCUAUCUGCCGUGGGCGCUGGAGAACUGAGGGGGGCUGCUCCUAGUACGAGAGGACCGGAGUGGACGCAUCACUGGUGUUCGGGUUGUCAUGCCAAUGGCACUGCCCGGUAGCUAAAUGCGGAAGAGAUAAGUGCUGAAAGCAUCUAAGCACGAAACUUGCCCCGAGAUGAGUUCUCCCUGACUCCUUGA